GAUGAACGCUGGCGGCGUGCUUAACACAUGCAAGUCGAACGAAGCACUUUACCUGAUUUCCUCCGGGGAUGAUUGUUCUGUGACUGAGUGGCGGACGGGUGAGUAACGCGUGGAUAACCUGCCUCACACAGGGGGAUAACAGUUGGAAACGACUGCUAAUACCGCAUAAGCGCACAGCACCGCAUGGUGCAGUGUGAAAAACUCCGGUGGUGUGAGAUGGAUCCGCGUCUGAUUAGCUUGUUGGCGGGGUAACGGCCCACCAAGGCGACGAUCAGUAGCCGGCCUGAGAGGGCGACCGGCCACAUUGGGACUGAGACACGGCCCAGACUCCUACGGGAGGCAGCAGUGGGGAAUAUUGCACAAUGGGGGAAACCCUGAUGCAGCGACGCCGCGUGAGCGAUGAAGUAUUUCGGUAUGUAAAGCUCUAUCAGCAGGGAAGAUAGUGACGGUAC
rnacentral:rRNA from 1 species